rnacentral:rRNA from 1 species
UGUGAUGAUGGCAGAGAGGUCACACCCGUUCCCAUACCGAACACGGAAGUUAAGCUCUCUAGCGCCGAUGGUAGUUGGGACCUUGUCCCUGUGAGAGUAGGACGUCGCCAAGCA